UACAGAGGGGGCAAGCGUUGUUCGGAAUUACUGGGCGUAAAGGGCGCGUAGGCGGCCUUCUAAGUCGAACGUGAAAUCCCUGGGCUCAACCCAGGAACUGCGUCCGAUACUGGGAGGCUUGAAUCCGGGAGAGGGAUGUGGAAUUCCUGGUGUAGCGGUGAAAUGCGUAGAUAUCAGGAGGAACACCGGUGGUGUAGACGGCUUUCUGGACCGUAACUGACGCUGAGACACGAAAGCGUGGGUAGCAAACAGG
rnacentral:rRNA from 1 species